UGCAGUCGAACGCUUCUUUUUCCACCGGAGCUUGCUCCACCGGAAAAAGAGGAGUGGCGAACGGGUGAGUAACACGUGGGUAACCUGCCCAUCAGAAGGGGAUAACACUUGGAAACAGGUGCUAAUACCGUAUAACAAUCGAAACCGCAUGGUUUUGAUUUGAAAGGCGCUUUCGGGUGUCGCUGAUGGAUGGACCCGCGGUGCAUUAGCUAGUUGGUGAGGUAACGGCUCACCAAGGCGACGAUGCAUAGCCGACCUGAGAGGGUGAUCGGCCACAUUGGGACUGAGACACGGCCCAAACUCCUACGGGAGGCAGCAGUAGGGAAUCUUCGGCAAUGGACGAAAGUCUGACCGAGCAACGCCGCGUGAGUGAAGAAGGUUUUCGGAUCGUAAAACUCUGUUGUUAGAGAAGAACAAGGAUGAGAGUAACUGUUCAUCCCUUGACGGUAUCUAACCAGAAAGCCACGGCUAACUACGUGCCACAGCCGCGGUAAUA
rnacentral:rRNA from 1 species